rnacentral:rRNA from 1 species
AUAAGCCCACAGCAACCUCGGUUGCAGCGGGAAAAGGGGGCCUCUUCCUGAAAGCUUCUGUCAUCAGAUGAGUCCGCGGUCCAUUAGCUAGUUGGUAGGGUAACGGCCUACCAAGGCGACGAUGGAUAGCUGGUUUGAGAGAAUGAUCAGCCACACUGGAACUGAGACACGGUCCAGACUCCUACGGGAGGCAGCAGUGGGGAAUUUUGCGCAAUGGGCGAAAGCCUGACGCAGCAACGCCGCGUGAGUGAUGAAGGUUUUCGGAUCGUAAAGCUCUGUCAGGAGGAAAGAAACUCCAGAAGGCUAAUAUCCUUUUGGACUGACGGUACCUCCAAAGGAAGCACCGGCUAACUCCGUGCCAGCAGCCGCGGUAAUACGGAGGGUGCAAGCGUUGUUCGGAAUUAUUGGGCGU